UUCCUACCAUGGAACUACUGACACUCAACCUGGUGCAUAUCAUGUGACUGUUCUGAUGUGUUUGUCUCUUCCUGCCUUUUUUCAGGUCAGCAGACAUCACUGCCUCCACCACCUGCAAAUGAGUCAACACCACACAGGAAACCAGCCGGUCGGCCAGAGCUGGAUGGGUCUAUUUUAACGCAAGCUCGGCCUGCCACUUCAUCUUGGGACCCGGUUGAAGCAACUUUUCCUGACAACCCUUGGAGGUUCGUCCGGAGGUACUGCCAUCCGUCGCAUGCUACUGCGAGUGGCAACCAAUGCCGUUCUAAAACCGUAUAGCCU